rnacentral:rRNA from 1 species
UGAGGAGUAUUGCUCAAUGGGCGAAAGCCUGAAGCAGCGACGCCGCGUGAGGGAUGAAAUCCGUUAGGAUGUAAACCUCUUUUGCAGGAGAAGAAUGUUCCGAAUUCGUUCGGAAUUGACGGUACCCUGCGAAUAAGCACCGGCAAACUACGUGCCAGCAGCCGCGGUAAUACGUAGGGUGCGAGCGUUGUCCGGAAUUACUGGGUGUAAAGGGUCCGCAGGCGGAUACAUAAGUCGAUGGUGAAAUUUCCUGGCUCAACCAGGAACCUGCUGUCGAUACUAUGUAUCUUGAGUUCGAGAGAGGAUAAUGGAAUUCAUGGUGUAGCGGUGAAAUGCGUAGAGAUCAUGAAGAACACCGGUAGCGAAGGCGGUUAUCUGGCUCGAUACUGACGCUCAGGGACGAAAGCGUGGGUAGCAAACAGGAUUAGAUACCCCUGUAGUCC